rnacentral:rRNA from 1 species
AUUGAACGCUGGCGGUAUGCUUUACACAUGCAAGUCGAACGGCAGCACGGGAGCAAUCCUGGUGGCGAGUGGCGAACGGGUGAGUAAUAUAUCGGAACGUGUCCAGUAGCGGGGGAUAGCCCGGCGAAAGCCGGAUUAAUACCGCAUACGACCUACGGGUGAAAGCGGGGGAUCGCAAGACCUCGCGCUAUUGGAGCGGCCGAUAUCAGAUUAGGUAGUUGGUGGGGUAAAAGCCUACCAAGCCUGCGAUCUGUAGCUGGUCUGAGAGGACGACCAGCCACACUGGGACUGAGACACGGCCCAGACUCCUACGGGAGGCAGCAGUGGGGAAUUAUGGACAAUGGGGGCAACCCUGAUCCAGCCAUACCGCGUGCAGGAAGAAGGCCUUCGGGUUGUAAACUGCUUUUGUCAGAGAAGAAAUCUUUUGGGCUAAUACCUCGGAAGGAUGACGGUAUCUGAAGAAUAAGCACCGGCUAACUACGUGCCAGCCGCCGCGGUAAAAC